UACGUAGGGGGCGAGCGUUGUCCGGAAUUCUUGGGCGUAAAGAGCUCGUAGGCGGUGUGUCACGUCGGCCGUGAAAACCUGCAGCUUAACUGUGGGCGUGCGGUCGAUACGGGCAUCACUGGAGUUCGGCAGGGGAGACUGGAAUUCCUGGUGUAGCGGUGAAAUGCGCAGAUAUCAGGAGGAACACCGGUGGCGAAGGCGGCUCUCUGGACCGCCACUGACGCUGAGACACGAAAGCGUGGGUAGCAAACAGG
rnacentral:rRNA from 1 species